AGGUAAUGGCGGCUAGUUUCCUGUGUUGUAGCGCUGUUGUCCUAUUUUCAGCGGUGUAACGUCUGUUUUUGGGUCGUUUGAAAGGUGGUCGCCAUGGGAAAAGCGGACUUCCUGUCCCCCAAGGCGAUUAGCAACCGAAUCAAGUCCAAAGGUCUCCAGAAGCUGAGAUGGUACUGCCAGAUGUGUCAGAAACAGUGUCGAGACGAGAAUGGCUUCAAGUGUCACUGCAUGUCCGAGUCCCACCAGAGGCAGCUGUUGCUGGCCUCGGAGAACCCCACCAAGUUCAUGGACUACUUCUCCGAUGAGUUCAAAAGUGACUUCCUGGAGCUCCUCAGAAGACGCUUCGGAACCAAGAGAGUCCACAACAACAUUGUCUACAAUGAGUACAUCAGCCACAGAGAACACGUUCACAUGAACUCCACCCAGUGGGAAACCCUCACUGACUUCACCAAGUGGCUCGGCAGGAAAGGUUUGUGUAAAGUCGACGAGACUCCUAAGGGUUGGUACAUCCAGUACGUGGACCGCGACCCAGAAACCAUCCGGCGCCAGGAGGAGCAGGCCAGGAAGAAGAAGCAGGAACUGGAUGACGAGGAGAGGAGCGCCAAGUUCAUCCAGGAACAGGUCCGAAGAGGGAUGGACGGGAAGGAAGCUGAGGCCCAGCCCGUUUACACAGAACUCAAACGUGAGAGUGAAGAAGAGAAAGUUGCUUUCAACCUGAGCACUCCGGUGGCAAGCUCGUCCAAGUCCAGCUCGGUUCUGGGCGCCAGCUCGGUUCUGGGCGCCAGCUCGGUUCUGGGCGCCAGCUCGGUUCUGGGCGCUCUGAAAGCUCCAGCAUCCUCAGUCAAAAGGAAAGAAGCGCCAUCCGGUUCUGACUCCAGAGGGGAGAAGAAGAAGAAAUCGGCUCUGGAGGAGAUCAUGGAGAUAGAGGAGAAGAAGAAGAAGAGGCAGUCCUCGGCCGUCAGGACGGAUUACUGGCUGCAGCCCAACAUCGUCGUCAAGAUCGUCACCAAGAAGCUGGGAGACAAGUACCACAAGAAGAAGGCCGUCGUCAUGAUCAGAGUGAUGUCAUGGCGGCCAUCUUUGUUGACAGGAUGUUCAUUUAGAGUUUGGAUUCAUUUCGACUUUACGGCGAAUAUUAAGGCCAAAAUGCAAAUGUUUUCAAUUACGAGAAUAAAGUCUUAAAGUAGUAAUUUACUAUGACUCUUAUACAAAAAACAACAUUAAAAUGAAGAACGUUUAUCAUCUGUGAAGUUACAUUUGGUUAUACAGAAAAUAACACUUUUAACACUUUAUUCUCAGCAGCAGAACUUUGAAAUAAAUUCAGUCGUUUGCGCAACAAUUGUUUCAAAGAAAGAACCUGACAGUUGCAGCAAUCAUAUCAGAUCUUGAAUUUUUAAGUCAUUUUAAGACUUUCCUCUGGUAAAAGUUGUCUUAAUUCUGCUAUCAUAACUGUUUUCUCAUAAUUAUGACUGAAAUGACAGCAAUGUUUUAAACAUUUUCUGUCAUUUGAAACUUCAUUUUUAGAAAACCAAACUAAAAUCUGAUCUUGGGGAAAUAAAUCUGUUGUGUUUUCUGAUUCCUGCGGAUCUCGUCCGUCUGCAGGAGGUGAAGGAGAAAUACGGCGCCGUGGUGAAGAUGAUCGACUCCGGCGACAAACUGAAGCUGGACCAGAACCACCUGCAGACGGUCAUCCCCGCUCCAGGGAAACGGGUUCUGAUCCUGAAC